CAGCAGCCACGGUAAUACGGAGGGUGCAAGCGUUAAUCGGAAUUACUGGGCGUAAAGCGCACGCAGGCGGUUUGUUAAGUCAGAUGUGAAAUCCCCGAGCUUAACUUGGGAACUGCAUUUGAAACUGGCAAGCUAGAGUCUUGUAGAGGGGGGUAGAAUUCCAGGUGUAGCGGUGAAAUGCGUAGAGAUCUGGAGGAAUACCGGUGGCGAAGGCGGCCCCCUGGACAAAGACUGACGCUCAGGUGCGAAAGCGUGGGGAGCAAACAGGAUUAGAGACCCCUGUAGUCCCUGUCUCUUAUAC
rnacentral:rRNA from 1 species